rnacentral:lncRNA from 1 species
GGCUUUGAUUAUGUUCAGGAAUGUUCCCUCUAUACCCACUUUGGCAAGAGUUUUUUUAUCACAAAUGGAUGUUUGACUUUGUCAAAUGCUUUUUCUGCAUCUAUUGAGAUGAUCAUAUGGUUUUUGACUUUUCUUUUGUUAAUGUGGUGUAUGACGUUGAUUGAUUUGCACAUGUUGAACCAUCCUUGUGAACCUGAGAUGAACCCCACCUGGUUGUGGUGUAUGAACUUUUUGAUAAGUUGUUGGAUUUAUUUGGCUAAGAUUUUGUUGAGAAUUUUUGCCUCUAUAUUCAUCAAAGAUAUUGGCUAAUAGUUUUCUUUUUUGGUGGUAUCUUUGUCUGGUUUUGGAAUGAGGGUGAUGGUGGCAUCAUAGAAUGUCUUUGGGAGUGUUCCGUCUUUCUCAGCGUUUCCAGAAAUCUAAGGGGGAUGGGCACCAGAUCCUCUUUGUUUGGUGGAAUUCACCUGUGAAGCUAUCUGGUCCUGGGCUUUGUAGGGAGUGUUUUUAUGAUGUAUUCAAUUUCAUUUCUAGUGAUCGGUCUGUUCAGUUGAUCUAUUUCUUCUUGGUUCAGUUUUGGCAGGCUGUAAGAUUCUAGAAAGUUGUCCAUUUCUUCCAGAUUGUCAAAUUUGUUGGCAUAUGGUUGUUCAUAGUAUUCUCUUAUGGUUUUUUUUUUAUUUCUGCAGUAUCCAUUGUGAUUUCUCCUUUUUCAUUUCUAAUUUUGUUUACUUGGGUUCUUUCCUCUUUUUAGUGAGUCUAGCCAGGGGUUUAUCAAUUUUGUUUACCUUUUCAAAGAACCAUCUCUUGGAUUUAUUAAUUUUCUCUAUUGUUUUUUGAAUCUCUAUUUUAUUGAUUUCCUCUUUGAUCUUUAUAAUUUCCUUCCUUCUGCUGCCUUUAGGUCUUUUUUGUUCUUCUUUUUCUUAAUCAUUUAGGUGUUGGGUUAAGUUGUCAAUUUGAGAUCUUUCUUCUUUUUUGAGGAAGGCCUGUAUUGCUAUGAAUUUCCCUCUAGCACUGCUUUCGUGGUGUCCCAUAGAUUUUGAGAGGUUGUGUCUUCAUUAUCAUUUGUCUCAAGGUAUUUUUUAAUUUCCUUCUUGAUUUCUUCAUUGAGCCAUUGUUUUUUUAGUAGCAUGUUGUUUAGUCUCCAUGUAGUAGGUUUUUUCUCAUUUCUUUUCCUUUGGUUGAUUUCUAGUUUCACACCAUUCUGGUCAGAGAAGAUACUUCCAAUAAUUUCUAUGCUCCUAAAGUUGUUGAGGUUAGCUUUGUGCCCCAAUAUGUGGUCAAUUCUUGAGAAUGUUCCAUGUGCUCUUGAGAAGAAUGUGUAUUCUGAUUUUUUUUGGAUGUAGUGUCCUGAAGAUGUCAAUUAAGUCUAACUUUUCUAUUGUUUCUUUUAGGAUCUCUAUUGCUUUAUUGGUUUUCUGUCUAGAGGAUCUGUCCAUUGAUGUGAGUGGGGUUUUAAAGUCUCCUACUAUGAUUGUAUUUCCAUCAAUUUCUCCCUUUAUUUCUGUUAAUAUUUGUUGUAUGUAUCUGGGUGCUCCUAUAUUUGGGGCAUACAUGUUGACGAUAGUAAUAUCUUCUUGAAUGGAUCCCUUAAUCAUUAAAUAGUGUCCUUCUUUGUCUUUCUUUAUGUCUUUUGUUUUAAAGUCUAUUUUGUGUGAUAUGAGUAUUGCAACUCCUGCCUUCCUGUCAUGUCCAUUGGCAUGAAAUAUUUUUCCCCGCCCCUCACUUUCAAUCUAUAUGUGUCUUUUGUCCUAAGGUGAGUUUCCUGUAGGCAGCAGAUUGAAGGUUUUUGCUUUUUUAUCCAAUCUUCCACUCUGUGUCUUUUGAUUGGAGCAUUCAGUCCAUUGACAUUUAAGGUGGUAAUUGAUAGAUGAUUAUUUAUUGCCAUUUUAAACCUAGUUUUCCAGUUGAAUCUAUGAUUCUCCAUUCUUUCUUUUUUUUGAUUGGAUGGUGUCCAAUUAUUAUCUGCUUGAGUGUUUUUCUUUUCAUUUUUUGUGAAUGUAAUGUUUGAUUUUGAUUUGUGGUUGCCCUGUUUUUAAAGUAUGUUAACCCUUUCCUAUAAUUGUGUGUUUUAGUCUGAUAGUCCUGUAGGUUCAAACACUUCAUUACCAUACUAAAAUUAAAAAAAAA